rnacentral:rRNA from 1 species
CAAUAGCGUAUAUUUAAGUUGCUGCAGUUAAAAAGCUCGUAGUUGGAUUUCGGGUGGGAAUGGCCGGUCCGCCGUUUCGGUGUGCACUUGCUACGCCCACCUUGUUGCCGGGGACGUGCUCUUGAGUUCACGCUCGGGACACGGAGUCGGCGAGGUUACUUUGAGUAAAUUAGAGUGUUCAAAGCAGGCCUACGCUCUGAAUACAUUAGCAUGGAAUAACACGAUAGGACUCUGGCCUAUCUUGUUGGUCUGUAAGACCGGAGUAAUGAUUAAGAGGGACAGUCGGGGGCAUUCGUAUUUCAUUGUCAGAGGUGAAAUUCUUGGAUUUAUGAAAGACGAACUACUGCGAAAGCAUUUGCCAAGGAUGUUUUCAUUAA